UCGCUGAGGCUUUAAAGUCUCGUUCCUGGGUUUUCCGAAUGAGAACAGGGAAGCAAAUGAUGAUCUGAAACCGAGCCGAGAAGGAACGGGUGUUGGGUUUCUUUGAGCAGGAAAAUAAAUCUCAGGGAACUAAGGCUUCCUUCUCACUCCCCCCCUCCCUGUACCCGGAUGAAGUCUAGCGCCGAAGCAGACACCUCCGCGUAAGACCUCAGCAACAAGGCGAGUCCUCGGCCUCUGACGGUUCGGUGAGAAUCCUCACAAAGACCAGAGGGAGUCUUGGAAUAGCACGGUGGACUGCACUUCCGUGGAACCCUCCCUACCCCUGCUGUGUGAGUUCUGUUCGACGCAGGUGAGGAAAAGAAGACAGAAAGAGGAUCAGUAUGGGAGGAGCACAGGCAAUUUCACAAGGAUGACACAAUCACCACACUGCUGUCCAUGCAGAAAGUUAUAAGAAGAAAAUCAGCAGUAGCAAUAGAAGCCAACAAGAAGCAGAGCCGAGUGCUUGAACCAAAGUCUGGCAGAUUACCAGCCCAGUUGAUUGACACCAGAAUGCUGCUGUACCCUGAUCAACUCUCCAGUUCCCAAUUAUUGGCUGUGCAGGGUGAGGCUGUUUCCUGUUUUCCUUACUUUCCAUUGUAGACUGACAAUGAAGUGGUACCCAUCUCUUGAGGUAAAGUAGUGUAUGUUCCUCGUCACUUGAAAGAGCAUAACUAAAACAUCCAGCCAUUAACAAUGUGCAGAAUUCUGUUCACUAGGGAGGUCUUCAGCAUUGUGACAGGAAAUUUCAAAUGUUAACAAAACUGACUCUGAUUUGUCAUUGUAACACUUUAAGUUAUUUUUUUCUAACUAUGAAAUUAAAAUUGCAGUUAUCAAGAUGAUUUAGAAAACACAGAAAAGCUUGAAGGAAAAAAAAAGUCAUUCAUAUCCCCCUGUUAAAGAGAAAACCAUAGGCCCAAAAUGGCAUCACUUAUGCUACAGCCCAUGAUGCCAAAUCUAGAGUUAACGUCUGACCUAACUGCAGUUUUUACCUUCACCAGUAAUGUAAUCUUAAUGAACCAGUCUGGAAUUUUCUGGUCAACACCAGUGAGGUAAUCUGUUGCACUAGUCCUCUCCCUCCCUUCACAGGAAGAAGCAAUCUGUAUGAUAAAACCCUUGCCAUUCCUCCUCAAAAGAUGCUCUGGUUUAAAAAUAAUCUUUUCUUUUCUUCUUUUCUUUUCUUUUGCUAAUAUCUCCCCUGCCACAUUAAAAAAAAACAAAACACAAACCCUUUUUUAUAAAAAUAUUUGAUUUAGUAAAACCCCUCAGAGUACCUUGUAAUUGCUAGAUGAGAUGCUGCCCUAUUCAUGAAUUCCUUAAUAAAGUCAUUUAGAUCUUCAA